rnacentral:tRNA from 1 species
GGGGAUAUAGCUCAGUUGGUAGAGCGACGCGUUCGCAAUGCGUAGGUCAGGAGUUCGACUCUCCUUAUCUCCA